rnacentral:snoRNA from 1 species
AACCUGUGGUUUACUGGAUGCUGUUGUGCAGGUACAGCUCUAACAGUGGAUGUUGAGGGGCUAGCAGUAAUCCUGUGCUAUAUGCAGGCGCUGUUAUUCCUCAGCAGCCGCCAUAAGCCCGGUCACUGUGUAAACA